rnacentral:rRNA from 1 species
GACGAACGCUGGCGGCGUGCUUAACACAUGCAAGUCGUACCGUAAGGCCCUUUCGGGGGUACACGAGUGGCGAACGGGUGAGUAACACGUGAGUAACCUGCCCACAACUUUGGGAUAACGCUAGGAAACUGGUGCUAAUACUGGAAAUGUGCUCGUGCUGCAUGGAGGGGGUUGGAAAGCUCCGGCGGUUGUGGUUGGACUCGCGGCCUAUCAGCUUGUUGGUGGGGUAGGGGCCGACAAAGGCGGCGACGGGUAGCCGGCCUGAGAGGGUGACCGGCCACAUUGGGACGGAGCUUCCGCCCAGAAUCCUUCGGGAGGCAGCAGUGGGGAAUAUUGCCCAAUGGGCGCGAGCCUGCUGCAGCGACGCCGCGUGCGGGAUGACGGCCUUCGGGUUGUAGACCGCUUGCAGCAGGUACGAAGCUUUUUGUGGCUGUACUUGCAGAAGAGGCCCCGGCUAACUCCGU